UACGACUACAUAUCAGGCAUAUCAAUAAGCGGAGGAAAAGAAACUAACUAGGAUUCCCUCAGUAACGGCGAGUGAAGCGGGAAGAGCUCAAAUUUGAAAUCUUCAAGGGUUUACCCUUACGAAUCGUAGUUUAAAGAAGUGUUUUCUGUUGGAGUUUCGGUAAAAGUUCUUUGGAAUAGGACAUCAUAGAGGGUGAGAAUCCCGUAUUUGACCGUUACUUUCCAGCUGUGUGAUACACUUUCAAAGAGUCGGAUUGUUUGGGAAUGCAGUCCAAAGUGGGUGGUAAAUUUCAUCUAAAGCUAAAUAUUGGCGAGAGACCGAUAGCGAACAAGUACCGUGAGGGAAAGAUGAAAAGAACUUUGAAAAGAGAGUUAAACAGUACGUGAAAUUGUCAAAAGGGAAGCGUUUGACACCAGUGUUGUUUAGUUGAAAAUCAAUUAAAUAAUUUUUGAUUUUAAGUAGUAUUGACUUCAUCAGCUUGCUGCUUUCUUUUCGGAAAUUAUUUAAUGCACUUUUCAGUUAACAAGUCAACAUCAAUUUCUUUUGUUGUAAAAGGGUAAGAGGAAGGUGGCUUACAUUACGGUGUAAGUGUUUAUAGCCUCUUACCUCUGCAAUCGGAGAGAUUGAGGUCAGCAGCGUAGACUCUUCGGGGUUAGAUACGCUUGUGCUAAGCUAUAGCCUUGUAUAGACAACUUGUUGACUAUGCUCAGUCAUGUAGCUUACUCGCUUGUAGUAUUUUACCUACGCUUAGGAUGUUGACGCGCGUGUGUGCGU
rnacentral:rRNA from 1 species